ensembl:lncRNA
CCAAAGCGUGGGAGGCGGGGCGCUCUCCAUCACUUCCCGUCUCCCAUUGGCUGAGGGUCGCCCCAAGUGCGUUACUCCACCUCACUUCCGGGAGGCGUGGCUCUCCGUGGGCGGGAAGCGGAGGACGUCUCCAUGCACCCUCGAGGUGGAGUGUUGCCCGCCUCACGGCUUGGCUGAGGCCCCCAGCACCCUGAGGAGUGGAGGAGGUCAUCGAGAGGAUGUGACCGCCGGGGGACCCUUGAGCUGGACCCAGGCAAUGGGAGGCUCCUCGCCCCUCUGCUCUCCUUGGAUGGUGCAUUCUGCUUGCCUUCUUGGCACUAGAAGCUGCCUUGAGGACACAGCCUUGAAAUAGUAAUGUGUUGCUGAGACCAUCCAGACAGUGCACGUGACCAAACCCCAUCAAGUCCUCUAUAUAAACCUGGAAGAUCCUGGUGGGUGGAUGCAGAGACCUAUUCGUCUGGCAGCGCCCAAGACAAGCCUUGUGUGGAAGUUUCCUUGCUGGUUACACUUGCCGCCCACUGGUCUGGAGUGGGCUGCCUCUUUCUUCAGUCUCUCCUCGCCCUCUGUGUACAGGGCCAGUUUGCAAACCAACAUGAGGGCAGGGGCUGGAGUUCAGGCAUUUUGUGCCUCCCCUGUCAGUGCCAGGACCUGGGACUGAAGACAUGAUAGUGGCCAACAGGUGUCAAGUUCUCAGUAUGCGCCCGGCAUUCCACUACAGCGGCGCUGUCCCUUACGGUAGCCAUGAGCCACACGUGGCCGCUGAGUCCUUGAAACAGGUGCUGAGGGCCUGGGGAAAGGAUGGCCGCACUUUCAUAUGCUCGGAUGGAACAAAGUGCAAGCGGGAGAGCUGAGUUAAUGGGUGGAAAUCACUUUUCACGGUGUCCGGAAUGUGAUAAACACUUGGUAAAUGUGGGCUAUCAUACCUCGUGAGCAAUGAAAGCAGUUCCUGCCCGGGGUAACAGUGUUGGAUACCUGCACUGUUUUGAACGGCAGCCCCCGCAAAGGAUGUGUCCACCCUGAACCAGUGAAUGUGAACCUUAUUUGGAAAAGGAUCUUUGCAGAGGUAAUUCAAUUAAGGAUCCUGAGAGGAGAUCCUCCUGGGUUCUCUGGGUGGCCCCCAAUCCGAGUGGUGGAUUUAAAAGGGGAGAAGACACAGACAGAGGGGAGAAGAUACAGAAGAGAGGCUCAUGUGAUGAUGGACGCAGAGAUGGAGCGAUGCAGACACAUCCAAGCUAAAGAUCGCCAAAGAUGGCAGCAGCCAGCAGAUGCUAAGAGAGAAGCAGGGGACGGGUGCUCCCUCACAGUCCUCUGAAGGAACCAGCCCUGCCAACGCCUUCAUUUUGGACUUCUAGCCUCCAGAACUGGGAGAGAAUAAAGUUCUGUUGUUUUCAGCUGCCCGGUUUCUGAUAAUUUGUUACCGCAGCCACAGGAAACUAACAAAAUACCCCAUUUGGAUGGUGUACUUUUCCUUUCAAAUAAAUCUCACUUGUUGCUCAGCCUGGGGUGUUUUGCUCAGUGUCACUCACUGUCCUACAGGGGUAGAUGUGUGUUUAACUUUAU